GGCAGUCCUUGGGUGAUGCACCCCGGAAUCGGGCUCCCUCUUUCCUGGUUCUGAGUGUGUCACCCGACAACCACA
rfam:Myotis davidii contig33207, whole genome shotgun sequence.